CUCAGCGUCCUCUCCGGUGGAGGACAGAAGGCAUCCCAGGGUCGCGGGAGAGCCAGCGCAAAGUGGAAGGCACCUUGUACGCUGUGAAGCGGAGAUGCAGAUGUUACCCUAACCAGAAGCCCACCCCGCCACAAAUACUGGAGCGCCCAGCAUGCGUGCGCCACCCGCUUCCCUGCAGAGGGCGCCGCGGGCCCGCCUCGCCGAGCGCGGGGUGAGAUCCCAGUAGCCCAGAGCAGCCCGCGGGGCAGGCCCGGGCUGCCGCGGACUCCUCUUGUUAGAUGUGGCCAGGUGACAAAGUUCUGUACAGUGGAAUGUAAACAGAAGUAUCAUGUGAGAGUUUCCAAGAACUUUUUCAGGAGGGAGGAAACACAUGUCCUUUGCCCUCCCUUUUUGUUUGCUGCCUUCUCCAUCCUAUAGCCUGGAAUACAGACAUGAUGGCUACCAUCUUGGACUAUGAACAUGAGGAUCACACCCAAGGGAAGGAGAGGCAGCAAGCUGGAAGGUACUAUGGAGCAGAACUGCCACAGCCUGAGUACCUACCUCUGGAACUUUCUGUGAGAAAUGAAAUGGGCCCAACAGUUCCAUAAACAGUUGUUUUGGGAUAAACAUAGAAAUGGCCCCUAGCUUGAAAUUUGCAUUUGUUUUAUCUGAGUUCCCUCCUCAGGAAAGGACCUUCAGGCCUCUCAAAAAAGUAUCAAGAGAACUGACACCAGAUGCCUCCUUGCCCCUCCCUAGUUCCUGUUUUCUUAAACAUUGUUACAUAUCUUCCCUGCUAUGUAAGCCCCUAGAUUUAGUCAGUCAGGGAGAUGGAUUUGAGACUGAGCUCUCAUAACUUGGCUGCAGCACCCGAUUAAAGCCUUCUUCCUUGGCAAU
rnacentral:lncRNA from 1 species